CAGAAUUCUUUUUACAGGGGAGACUCAAAGUAUGUACAACAUGCCUGAGCUUGGAAAGCCCAGUUACUUCAGGAAAUGAAAUGAGAAUCUAUUCCCCAAGUUGCAAAUGGAAGCAUCUAAAGUGGUCAGGAAGACCAACCUGCAACUAUCCAUGGACAUGACACUUAUUGUGAAAAUCCCAGAACACAGCAGUGAGGUUGAAGAACCCUCCUGGACCACAGAGACUGAAAAGGACUACAUUAGAAAGAACACACAGGUAACUAAACAGAAUUAGAAAAAAAAAUGCCUGAAUGAAAUGAGAAGUUCAACAAAGAAACAAACUAUAAAAAAACAACAACAACCAAACAGAAAUCCUAAAGAUAAAGAAUAUAAUAAUUGGACUGAAGAAUUCAACAGAGAGCUUCAGCAACAGAUCUGACCAUCAGAAGAAAGAAUCAAUGAACUGAAAGCUGAAUUUUGAAAUCUCCAACUAUAAUUGUGAAUUUGCCUUCAUUUCUGUUUUUUUCAUUUACUUGGAACAAAUAUUUGGAACAAAAACCAUUUAUGUUUUCUUCAUGUAUUUGGAAACUCUGAUAUUUAGACUUAUACAGACUUGGGAUGAUACAUUAUCUCUUCUGUAAUAAUA